GCCUUCAUAUUUCAGGAAUUUCAUGAGGAAAGGAAAAUGCAAACAUCGUUCUCAGUUAUUAUAAAUCAAAUGAUGGUCUUCACCUGCCUGCCAUGACUUCUCAAAUAUAAUGGAUAUUGGCUUAGGUUUAACUAAACCACUGCAUACACCGGUAGAGAGAGGUUAUGCAAACUUAACAGUUAAAAUCAGUUUUAUUACAGGUACACCAUGAUCCCAAAUUCCAUCCUACAGGGUUUCAGAUGAAACGACACAUUGGAUUUUGGACUACUUUAUGUGCCAGAGCAUUUUUUAUCAUCAGAUAAAUUAACAAAGGGCAGAAUGAUACCUUUGGAAUCUGAUGAUUGAUUUUGAAGCUUCAGUUGUAUAUAGGCUCCUUUCAAGUACUGGAAGACUGCAAUUAGGUCACCCUGAAGCCUUCUCUUCUCCAGGCUGAACAAUCCAAGUUCUCUCAGCCUUUCAGUAUCAGCCAGGACUGCUUUAUGUAAGGAGAAAGAUGCUGGUUGACUUCCACAUCUUGGUGUGCAUUUUGAGUAUUUCUUCUUUGUAUGAACGGCAGGAAAGAGUGAAAGUGAUUAUGAAAGUAGAGAAACUGUGGAAUUUUUUUUUUCUACAACGAAUCAGAGCAAAAAAAACCUUUUGAAGGCUUUUUCCUUUGAUUACCUUAAAAUGUUGUAAUGGAUUGAUACAGGAAUGAUUAGUUUGCCUACUGAGGCUUCCAGGGUAUGUGUUCCUGCGUUCACAUAAGGACUGUGUUUCAUUACUGUUCUUAGCAGUAGAAGACUGAUGAACAAUAAAAAUAGUUUGUCACA